GUGCCCACAGAAGCCAGAAAAAUACCAAUCUGGAGCUGGAGUCACCGGCAGUUUCGAGCCACCUGAUAAGGGUGUUGGAAACUGGACUCAAGUCCUCUGCUAGAAGCAGCGCUCACCCACGGAGCCACUUCCCCGUGCCUUACUUACUCACUUAUCUACUUUCAUGCAUGCGUGCACAGAUGUGUGGGUGUCCCGCAGGCCUGAAGAGAGUAGAGAAGCCUCUGGAGCUGGAGUGACAGGAGACUGAGCCACAGGACGUGGGUGCUAGGAACCCCACUCCUCUGUAAGAACACUGAGAGCUCUUACCCGCUGGGCUGCCUCUCUAGCCCCUUGAUAUUGCCUUCGUAGUAAACCUGAAGAUUAUUUCAUCCAUUAAGAAAAGCCAAACUCUUCUUUCCAUCAUAAACACAAACUUUAAUCACUGCAAACAGUGUCUACCAUAAAUGGCCAAGUCUUGGAGGGGGCACAAUGGUCCCUGCUACUUAAGAGGACGCACACAAACCAAAAGGAAUGCACCAGGAAUCCCACAGUGAGAUCUUCUAAGAGGUACAUUCCGAACACCAUUGGGUGUGAGCUUGUGAGUGAGGAGCCUCGAGUAACCAAACCAAUCCAGGCAAGGGUGAGAGGUCACCUGAACAGGUGACCCGAGAGCCCCUGGUCAACUUUUUCCACCAUUAUUUCUUGAACUACAACUACUAUUCAAGCUCAGUCACUUUCUUCUUUUAGACUGUUAAACUAUGACUUUUAUGUAUGGGCUCACUCAGGGAUCCAAUUCUCCAUUUAUGAGAGUUUCUGAGGGAAAAGCAGCUGCAAGCUGACACCCAAUGCUUAGAAGCCACUUAGUCAUGAAUUAAGAUCUGCCUUCCUUCCUAAGCAAUUAAAAAUUAUUUUAAAAAUUAGGCUGUUGUGUGUGCGUGUUUCUGUGGGAGCAUAGGCAUGCAGCUGUCGUCAUAGGUCAGAGAUGUCAGAUGUCCCUGGAGCAGGAGUUAUAGGUGGCUGUGAGCCACCUGACCUGGGUGCUGAGGGACAGCCUCAGGUCCUCUGUAAGAGCACUGUGCAUUCUUAACCACUGGCCAUCUCUUUACCUGCUCUGCACCUUGGUGUUUUUUUUUUUUUUAAUUAUUUUAACCAUGUUGUGGGUGUUUUGCUUGCAUGUAUGUCUGAGUACUGUGUGCCCGUAGUGCCCACACAGGUUAGAAGAGGGUGUGGGGGCCCCUGAAACUAGUUACAGAAAGUUAUGAGUCUCCGUGGGUGCUAGGAAUCAAACCCAGGUCUCCUCUGCAAGAGUAACAAGUUUUCUUUCUUAACUGCUCAACUCUCUCUCCAGCCCUGCUACAUUGUUGUUAACAAUUUAAGAUAAUUUAAACAUAAAAGGAAGUCCCAAAGUCUACCACUUCAGAGCAUUUACAGGAGAACCAAUGUCGCCAUUGCUGCGGCUGGUGUCCCUAUGUAAUAUGCUUAUGCAGCCAAUUCUUUUUUUUUUUUUCCUUUUUUUCAGAGCUGGGGACCGAACCCAGGGCCUUGCGCUUGCUAGGCGAGCGCUCUACCACUGAGCUACAUCCCCAACUCCAGCAGCCAAUUCUUAAAUUUAGCCAAUUUUGUUAUCCUGUGCUGCAAUCUUCUGGGGGUGCAAUAUUCCCCUCUCUUCCCUUCCCUCUACAAACACACUAUACCCUUGGAUAAACAGGCCAUUUUUGCGCACCACGGUUAUUGAAAUUUUGUUCAUGUCCAAGUCAAAUACAACAGUUUGUGUUUUCUUUCUGUUAACUAUUGUUGGCAUAGAUCUCCUGGUUCUUUAGCCUCUGCCUGAUAAAUCGCCCAUGCUCCUGAAGUCAAGCCCAGGUGAACUCAGCCGCUCAUAGGUUGGACGUGGGUGGAACCAUUUCUUUAACCUGUUGUUGCCCUAUCUGAGAUGAAUGGAUGCUUCCAACUUGCCAGGAAAAAAAA
rnacentral:sRNA from 1 species